AGAGUUUGAUCCUGGCUCAGGACGAACGCUGGCGGCGUGCUUAACACAUGCAAGUCGAGCGAGGCCCUCCUUCGGGGGGUGCCCUAGCGGCGAACGGGUGAGUAACACGUGGGUAACCUGCCCUCAGCUCUGGGAUAACUCCAAGAAAUUGGUGCUAAUACCGGAUGUGACCGCUGACCGCAUGGUCUGGUGGUGGAAAGAUUUAUCGGCUGAGGAUGGGCCCGCGGCCUAUCAGCUUGUUGGUGGGGUCACGGCCCACCAAGGCGACGACGGGUAGCCGGCCUGAGAGGGUGACCGGCCACACUGGGACUGAGACACGGCCCAGACUCCUACGGGAGGCAGCAGUGGGGAAUAUUGCGCAAUGGGCGAAAGCCUGACGCAGCGACGCCGCGUGAGGGAUGACGGCCUUCGGGUUGUAAACCUCUUUCAGUAGGGACGAAGCGCAAGUGACGGUACCUACAGAAGAAGCACCGGCCAACUACGUGCCAGCAGCCGCGGUAAUACGUAGGGUGCAAGCGUUGUCCGGAAUUAUUGGGCGUAAAGAGCUCGUAGGCGGUCUGUCACGUCGGCUGUGAAAACCCGAGGCUCAACCUCGGGCCUGCAGUCGAUACGGGCAAACUAGAGUACUGCAGGGGAGACUGGAAUUCCUGGUGUAGCGGUGAAAUGCGCAGAUAUCAGGAGGAACACCGGUGGCGAAGGCGGGUCUCUGGGCAGUAACUGACGCUGAGGAGCGAAAGCGUGGGGAGCGAACAGGAUUAGAUACCCUAGUAGUCC
rnacentral:rRNA from 1 species